AUGAACCCCUCCUCGGCUCCGGGCCCGGAUGGAUUGCCAGUAUUGUUCUUUACAACAUUCUGACAAACCAUCAAACCGGAGGUCAUGGCCCUCUUCGACGAGUUCUUCUCUGGGACCAUGGACCUUGGGCGCCUGAACUAUGGGAUCAUUACCCUCAUCCCAAAGGUUCCUGGGGCCUCGGACAUCCGCCAGUUUCGCCCGAUCACCGUGAUUAACGUGAUCUUCAGGAUCCUGGCCAAAGGGUACGCCAAUAGGGUGACCCUUCUUGCGGACUCUGUCACCCACCCCAACCAAUCCGCCUUCAUCCAAGGCCGAUUUAUUUUGGAUGGGGUGUUG
rnacentral:rRNA from 1 species